rnacentral:rRNA from 1 species
GGGGUAGCAAUACCCGCUGGCGACCGGCAAACGGGUGAGGAACAUGUACGCAACCUUCCUUUAACUGGAGAAUAGCCCCUCGAAAGAGGGAUUAAUACUCCGUAACAUCCCGAUGUGGCAUCACAACGGGAUUAUAGCUCCGGCGGUUAAAGAUGGGCGUGCACCUGAUUAGAUAGUUGGCGGGGUAACGGCCCACCAAGUCUGCGAUCAGUAACUGGUGUGAGAGCACGACCAGUCACACGGGCACUGAGACACGGGUCCGACUCCUACGGGAGGCAGCAGUAAGGAAUAUUGGUCAAUGGACGCAAGUCUGAACCAGCCAUGCCGCGUGGAGGAUUAAGGCCCUCUGGGUUGUAAACUCCUUUUAUCUGGGAAGAAAUGUACUUUUUCUUGAGUACUUGACGGUACCAGAGGAAUAAGCACCGGCUAACUCCGUGCCAGCAGCCGCGGUAAUACGGAGGGUGCAAGCGUUAUCCGGAUUCACUGGGUUUAAAGGGUGCGUAGGCGGACAGGUAAGUCAGUGGUGAAAUCUCCGAGCUUAACUCGGAAACUGCCGUUGAUACUAUUUGUCUUGAAUAUUGUGGAGGUAAGCGGAAUAUGUCAUGUAGCGGUGAAAUGCUUAGAUAUGACAUAGAACACCAAUUGCGAAGGCAGCUUACAACACAACGAUUGACGCUGAGGCACGAAAGCGUGGGGAUCAAACAGGAUUAGAUACCCUGGUAGUCCAAGCCCUAAACGAUGAUUACUCGACAUACGCGAUACACUGUGUGUGUCUGAGCGAAAGCAUUAAGUAAUCCACCUGGGAAGUACGUUCGC